GCUGAAUUGAGAUAACGACGAAGAACGUGCCCUCAGAUGACAAAACAGCCGCAGACGGGUUGAAAUGCCAAUCCGGGACGACUUGUUGCCCAUGCGCCAAUAGGUUCCCAGAGGUCCAUGGCUGCACCUUUCAUUUCAAAUCGGCGGUCGCGAAAAAAUUUGCUGGUCUCGAAUACUGAAAGUGAGAAUCACCGAUUGGAUGAUAGAUAAGAUUCAUUGAAUUAGAGAUCGUGGUCGUAGUUGUGAGGAAGAGUUAAGUUUGGGUUAAUGAUGCCCAAGCAAUGCGGCUUGUAAUGUUUCGGAGGUGAAGCAUCGAGUGUAAAACGUCAUGAGUCCGACGGGAAGAUUGUUGACAAAUAGUCAGGUCACACGCAAUCUCAGAACCGCCAUUGUUGGUUGACAGAAGCCGAUAGUCGUAGAACUGAUGAACCCUAAAAUUGUGAGGUUGAAGGGAGAUAAUGACGAUAUGGACCUCUCUUUUGUAAGGAUUUGGGCCCAGAAAUAAGUUACUAUCAAUAUCUAUAAUUUUAUAUUCGGGCAAGCCCAUUAACAAUACAGAAAA